AGUGAACGCUGGCGGUAGGCCUAACACAUGCAAGUCGAACGGCAGCACAGUAAGAGCUUGCUCUUACGGGUGGCGAGUGGCGGACGGGUGAGGAAUACAUCGGAAUCUACUUUUUCGUGGGGGAUAACGUAGGGAAACUUACGCUAAUACCGCAUACGACCUACGGGUGAAAGCAGGGGAUCUUCGGACCUUGCGCGAUUGAAUGAGCCGAGGUCGGAUUAGCUAGUUGGCGGGGUAAAGGCCCACCAAGGCGACGAUCCGUAGCUGGUCUGAGAGGAUGAUCAGCCACACGGGAACUGGGACACGGUCCAGACUCCUACGGGAGGAGGCAGUGGGGAAUAUUGGACAAUGGGCGCAAGCCUGAUCCAGCCAUACCGCGUGGGUGAAGAAGGCCUUCGGGUUGUAAAGCCCUUUUGUUGGGAAAGAAAAGCAGCAGGUUAAUACCCCGCUGUUCUGACGGUACCCAAAGAAUAAGCACCGGCUAACUUCGUG
rnacentral:rRNA from 1 species